rnacentral:sRNA from 1 species
AUCAAAAUUCCACACAUACACCGACACGGUUGGCGGGGUGCCUUCGGGUUGUCAGCUGCGGGUGUAUGGAGGCCUAAC